AUCUUUGCGCUUGGGGCAAUGACGCAGCUAGUGAGGUACUAACCGAGGCGCGUCAAUUGCUGGUUGAAAAACUAUUCCAAACCCCCUCUUUGGCCUGGGUUCUGCCCUGGCCAUUGAAAGAACGAAAGGGCUUCCCCUUGGGGUAAAGCC